rnacentral:misc_RNA from 1 species
AAGUCGUAACAAGGUUUCCGUAGGUGAACCUGCGGAAGGAUCAUCAACAAAUCUAUUAAAAAGGUUUUGGGGUAAAACCCACCUUUUUUUAACCAAUGUGAAUAGAAAAAAGAUGAAAAUCUUUUUUCGAAAUAUUAACGAGUAAAAAAAAAAGAGUCUGUUUUUAAAAAAAAACAAAAUUAUUUAUAACUUUUAACAAUGGAUCUCUUGGCUCUU